CCGGUCCCGGUCCCGGUCCGCAGUGCUGCGACAGGGGGCCAGGGCGAGGCUCCGCGCUGCCGGUGCCGGGGGGCUGCGCGCCGCCCCGCAGCGCGGCCCCGGCGGCGGGAGCGCGCUGCUUCGUUUCGGGUGCGGAGCCGCCGUUCAGCCACGGGACAGCGAGAGCCACCGGCUGGGGACGGCUCCUGCACUCUGAGCGAUCUGCCCGGCACAGUCAUACACAUGGAUAGAAGGAUACUGCUAGUGAAUCAUUUGAUGCAAUGAGUGACAUCCAGGCAAAGCAACACCAAGAUAAGGAUGAUUAGAAAGUAAUAAUUCUUGGAAUUGGAGGAUAAAACAACUUUAAGCAAAUGAAGGGUUACAUAGCUGAUUACAGCAGUAUUUGAGAGUCUCUGUUUCUGCACUUCACCCUCACAACAUUCCUAGACCAUAAGGAGUUGCUACCUGCACUGCAUAUCUGGAUAUUAGAGAACACCUCAAUCCAAAUAAAAAAUAAUAAUAAUUUAUAAAAUUCGCUCCGAGAAUGAAGUUCAGAUGUAUGAAGGUAUAAAGGCAACUAAAUCAAGAACCUACAUGGCAGUUAGUUGCCUAUACAACAUCAUAGAUUGGAUCUGAAUGAGGUAUCAAGUGCCAUAGAAAACAUUUGUGGCAGAGCAAGGAGCUAUUACUCAGACUCCUAUGUCCUGGACUGGUAACACCCUAAUUCUGGAACAUACUCCUUUUGAAUGCUUGUCCCUAUUUCAUUAAAACAUCAAUAAAUCAUAAUGGUAUAACAAAAAUAUAGACAAUUUUGUGAUUCAGCUGUGCUGCUGGAUACUACGAAUCAUACAUGUGAAAAGGAGCGUUCAGAGGUCCAUAGUUCUCUAUUUGCCCUCUCCUGAGAGGAGCCUCUGGCACUCAAGCUGAACAAUUUUGAAUAGAUAGUCACAUGCUCUAGGGGUUAUUCCCUGGGAGGAUUUCAAUGUGCAAGAUAGGGUGCGGGAGGGUGUUUAAAAGCAAAGUGCAGCUCCGUGUUGCAAGAAAUAAAGACAAGCCAUGGUUCUCCCUGGGCAGAGGGAAAUCUUUUCACCAGGCAAGACAAGAAGUUUAAAAGGGUGGUAGAAUCAACUGUAAAUGACCGGUAUAUUUUUGAAUACCUGUUAGGGGAUGGUAACAAUAGGAAAUUUAUACUAUUAAUAGUUUUGGAGGUUCAUUAUAGUUGAAUUUGACAUGUUAUUGCCUAGUUUUGUGCAUAUAACUUCUGGGUAUUGCAGAUAGAAAGGAAGAA